UGUGUUAGUUAAACUCAACUACGACGUGCAUAUUAGCUGAAGUGCAGAACUUGUUUUGACCAGUUUCUAAAGCUUACUUCGUCAUUUCUUUUCAGAAAAUCGAUGUGUAUAAACUUCUUGAUGUUUGGUGAGGUACGAAGGCGGCAUCAGGCUUCAGUAACAGGUGCAUCUUUGCCGGCCCACUAAGACAUUGGAGAAUAUUAGGAAAGACAUUGGCGAUUCUCCAGUCUGGCUAUCCGUUGACGAAACCACUGAUUCUUGCAGUCGUUAUAUGGUGCACGUCAUAGUUGGAAAACUCUCUGCUGACGAGACUGGAUGAGGACACCUCAUACUGUGCAAAGAAGUGAAAUGAACAACACACGCCACGAUUGCACGCACAGUCUAAGUUUCGCCAAUAUUGAAUAGUUUAAAAUAAAUUACAGGCGUGCUGUGGAGAAGUGAAGAUCAGAAACGUGGGGAGAACAAGGUUUUGGCCAUUUUUACGGAUAGUGCCACAUAUAUGAUGAAGGUUGUAGAGUGUCUCUGGGUGUCAUUCUUCACCUCACGUGUCGCUGAAGAGGUCAGAGCCGCAUUGCCAGAGGUCAGCUGCCUUAUAUCUUCGGCAAUGAAGGUUUUCAUCACGCCACCAAGUAAAGUGAGAACUUUCAAGACUGCUCACUCUGCCACCUGAACCAGUCUUGACGAGGUCCUAAAGGGUUUUGAAGAUAGCGAAAAUUGAGCCAUACCAAAAUCCAAGGGCGCCUUGAAGAAUUCCAGCAUGUUACACAGCCUAUCUUUCACCCGAGUGCACUUGGGUGACCUUCCAGACCUAAGUGAGAAACUUGAGGCUCGUAACAUGGAAGUUACGAAGGCAGUGGCUCUCGACGGAGGACUCAGGACACAGAGCAAGAAUUGGCCAGGCCCGAUCGCUGAGAGAUUUAGAAGAAAAUUGGAUGCAGUUCUCCACAGAAACCCUGGUUGACCUACGAUUCGGAAGAAGGCUCAGUUUCUCGGAGCAUUUCUGUUCUUCCAGUAUCUAGAUGAUUUCACGUCGUCUAAUGUCGCUGCUCUUAAAUUUUUACCUGUAGUGUCAUGUGAUGUUGAACGAUCAUUUUCAAGAUUGAAAAUGUUAUUAUCCGGCCAUAGGAAAAAUUAUCAUUUAGAGAAUAUGAAUAAAUGGGAACCUAUGUUAUACUUCAUUUUAUUCAUUGAAUUAUAGCCAUUAUUGAAAAUA